rnacentral:tRNA from 1 species
GGGCGGGUGGCGGAACGGCAGACGCGCACGGUUCAGGUCCGUGUGUCCUAGCGGACGUGAGGGUUCAAAUCCCUCCUCGCCCA